rnacentral:rRNA from 1 species
UACGGGGGGGGCAAGCGUUGUUCGGAUUCAUUGGGCGUAAAGGGUGCGUAGGCGGCGCGGUAAGUCGGGUGUGAAAUCUCGGGGCUUAACUCCGAAACUGCAUUCGAUACUGCCGUGCUUGAGGACUGGAGAGGAGACUGGAAUUUACGGUGUAGCGGUGAAAUGCGUAGAUAUCGUAAGGAAGACCAGUGGCGAAGGCGGGUCUCUGGACAGUUCCUGACGCUGAGGAGCGAAAGCCAGGGGAGCAAACGGG